CGGCGACUGCACCUGCGCAAGGUCCCAGCUGUACUCAAGGAGUCCGUCAGGAGUUAAGGAUCCUGAAGCAGUAGCUGAAGCCUGGGCCCAUCUC
rnacentral:lncRNA from 1 species